UACGGGGGGGGCAAGCGUUGUUCGGAAUUACUGGGGGUAAAGGGCUCGUAGGGGGCCAACUAAGUCAGACGUGAAAUCCCUCGGCUUAACCGGGGAACUGCGUCUGAUACUGGAUGGCUUGAGUUUGGGAGAGGGACGCGGAAUUCCAGGUGUAGCGGUGAAAUGCGUAGAUAUCUGGAGGAACACCGGUGGCGAAGGCGGCGUCCUGGACCAAUACUGACACUGAGUGAGCGAAAGCCAGGGGAGCAAACGGG
rnacentral:rRNA from 1 species